CCGCGCUAGAUGGGGGAUUUGGCGUCCCUUCUGCAGCUUUACGUUGCUGCCCGAAAUCGUCAACAUGCGGGGUUGACGCCUUUCCGAGGCGUUCUCGUCCUCUAGUUGUCGGCGGACAAGCGGUGUUGAUGGUUGCGCCCCGCAAACUGCGUCGUUGUGAACCGGGUCAGAGGGUGAAACCAGCAGCCCUAAGCAUUCGUGCGCAGCUGUUGUGGGUCACGUAACUCGGAGCUGGCUAUUCGUCGAGACUAUUGUGGCAGGCGUCGGAGAAAGGCGCGCGG
rnacentral:SRP_RNA from 1 species